AGAUCUGAUGAAGCCGUGAACACGGCGAAACGCGUCAUCACGCAAGUUACGCACCAUACGUCACGCACUCUUGGAAGUCCCCUCCCCCCGGAAGUUUGAGGAAGCAGCAGUGGAAACGGCAAUAACGGCGGCAAACAAACAGAGGGAAUAGUCGACACCCUAAGCUGCAUAUAGCGGAACACUCUGUAACCCUGUACUGAAUGUGGAGGAAGGUGCUGGGCAAUAAAUAUAUCUUUUGGAUUAUUUCGUCUGUGCAGUCCUAUAUUUGAAGAAGCUGUUAUAGUUAGAGCAGGCUUUAUCUGCUCUACCUUUGUGAGUGCAAUAU